AGAGAGUUAAUAAGGUUAGGUGAAAAAAUCAUCAAAUUUGGAGUUGAAAUAAAAAAGUUAUGAAGGUUUGAAGUUGGGAGAUUUUUGUUGAGGUUGCUGCUGUUGUGCUCUAGAGGUUGUUGCUACUGUUCUGGAAUACUGUUCUGGAAUACUGUGCUAUUUCCAUCUAGUUGCACUUGUUUUCAUCUAAUAUCAUUUUUUCUAUCCAAUUAGGCCUAUUUUCAUCCAAUGGUGCUAUUUUCAUCCAAGUACUUAUUCUAUCCAUCUUUUUUUCAUCUAGCUACUUCCAUUUUGCUAAUUCUAUCUAAUUCUUUUUUUUUUAUCAUUAUUUUUUUUAUCACUUCUUAUAAGUUCAAGUAAAUGAUAACCAUUGCUUAGAAGGCAUUAUCUAGAAAGUUGAAUUUAUAAUCUUUUGAUUAAUUAACCAACCAUUAAAUUAAUCACAUAAUUAGUGCCUACUAACUUUCUAAACUUGUUGUAUAGUUAUUUUUCCUCUAAAAAAACAUAAAGAGGAUUUUUAGCUCAUAAUUAUCUAUUUUUUAUUUUUUUACAAAUAAAAUUAUAUGAUAUUAAAUAUUACAAAGCUACUAUGACCAUUAGUUGUUACUUUUAUAGGAAGGAUUUCAUGAAUAGCAUUUUUUGAAGAUAAUAGAUGACCAACUAUGACUUUUAUGUAAAUAUAUUUAGUUUUCUUUAAUAAAGGUAUGUUAUAUCUUUUAAUAAAUUCUUCAUCUAAGAAAUGCAUUGAGGCUCUUUCAUCUAAUAAGGCAGAGGCUUUGUGAUGUUUAGGUCCUAAAAUAACAUUUAUUGUAAAAUAAGGAGAGGAUUAUGAAGAGAGAAUAUGACCUCUAAUAGGUAUUGUAUAAAAUUCGAGCUACAUGGUUCUUAUUGUAGCUAGACAAACUUAUUUUUUGACAUAUUAUUUUCUUUAAUGGCCGUAUUCUUCAUUUUGUUGUUGCAUCGCUUCUUUAAAUAAUAUUGAGCAAUGUGUUUUACUUCUCCAUAAUACAAGCACAAUCUUUUUUGAUGACAAUAAGUCUUUUCUUACUUACUAAGAAAUUUGAAAUUUACUCCAUUAAUUUAUAUAUCCUCUACUUAUAAAUGUAUGUGUUGAAAAG
rnacentral:lncRNA from 1 species